GUCCUCGAGCGGGUGGAGGCGGGCCGUUGCGCGCGGGGUGGUAACGGCCGGCGCGUGGCUGCGCGAGUGUCCCCCGUCCUGGCGGGGCCGUCCGUCCCGGCGGGCCCGGCCUGAGGCGAGAGGACGCUGCCGCCGACACCAGACGACAUGCAAACCAUCUGAGGUUAUACUUAAGCAAAGUCUGAAGACAAGCAAAAAGGAAUGCCAGCGGAUGGCUGGGUGAAGGAAACCCAACUGAGUGCUUCCCACUGCAGAGCAGCAGACAGAACUCACUUAUGAACCUUCCAUUAUGCUCCAGCUGGUCAGGUAUUUUGGAGGAGAGCAUGCACGAGGACACAAAAGACAGAAGGUUGUAUUUCACUUCCUCUAGAUUAGUAAUAAAACAGUGCAGUGAGCUGAGCUCUUCUCAGAUGGGGAUGUAUUUUAGCAAAUUAUUUUUCCUCUCCCGUGCAAGCGCUAGGCAUCUUGGUAGUAAGAAAGUUGGCAUAACUUCUCCCUUCAGACAAAAAAAAAAAAAAAAGCCUGUAUUUCUCUGUGACCAGGCUUCAGUGAAGUGAGUAUAACAAGAGUAUAAAGAAUAAAAGGUUACAGAUGUACAAGGGAGGAUUUAGAAUUUCUUCAACACAUGAAAAAAUCAUUCCCGGUGUUGAUAUUUUAGGUAGCUUAUUCAUAUGUUAUGCUAAAGGAUGAGGAAUGCCAGGCAAUAUUCUGCCUCCACCCCCCAAACAUGAGCAAGACCUGAGAAACUGUUCCAUACUUCUGCAUACCUCCUUAUCAGAAAUCAGAUUCUAAUCUUGGAUCUCCUUUCAGCGGAGAGGCAGUUGCUCACCUGAAUUGCAGCUGACUUUACUGGACGAUCCAGUCCCUUCCAAUCCCAUGUUCACAGCCUGGUGGUUGUAAACUGUGUGACAUACACCUACAAAAUUCACCUUACAGUGGGGUAGCAGCUUACUUGCCUUGGUAUUACCAUGAUUGUUGCUGGUAGCCUCCUGAAGGCUGUACAGGUAGAACUGAGUUCUAAGGUGAGAUUUUUUUUUUUUUUUUUUUCCUUAAACCAAGUACUAUUGUGAUUGCACGCUGACAAAAAUAAAGCUAGUAACUUUAUAUUGAAAGGUGGAGGGGCUUGGCUGUGGGGGAGAAAGAUGCUGUUGAUGAACAGCUCAAAAAUAUGUAUACCGUGUAAGUAAAAUAAUGUGUACUCAUGACUGCUCAUGCUGAGAAAAACAGCUCUUGCUCUGGUGUCCAAUUUACUUUCUCAGCACAGUCAGGGAUUUCUGGGGAAACAAAAUAAUCAGCUAUUUUCUAGAAAAGAAGAGCUUUAAUUUUCCACAUACUCUAGUUUUCAUUCUUUGAAGAGUUUAUACCUACAGAAUAUUUUGUAUGUAUUAGAUCUUCGUAUCUUACAUGUUAAGAGCUAAUGUCCUUUCACAGGCAAAAUAUUUCAUUCACUAAACAGAAGUUUUUCCACACAAAACUUCCUUCCACAGACCAUUUCUCCUCGACAGGGGGAACUGACACCUGUUCUAAUAUUCUGUACAGCAGCCAAUGGCGCAUCUACCAGUACAACAGAAAAAAAUGCAAGAACAUGCAGAAAUGAAAGACUUUGUCCAAUGUGAAGGAGCCUUCCUGAGCAGAAUGGAUUCUGGCACUCAGCCCGUUGUUGCCAAAAGCUGGUUUUGGAGAGCUGAAAUCUUGUGAACCUGUGGCAUGUUCAGGAGU